CAAAAACAUUUUUUAAUGAUUUUAUAUUAAAUAUGACCUGCCCCUUGUGUAUAUAAAAAGCCGCAGAAAAUUUACUGUGCUAAGGUAGCAUAAUCACUUGUCUUUUAACUGAAGACUAGAAUGAAAGGUUUCACACUUGAUCCUCUUUUUUGGUUGUAAAAAUCUAACUUUUAAUAAAAAUAAAAAUAUUUUUAUUUUCUUAAAAGACGACAAGACCCUUAUGAACUUAACUGAAGUUAGGCUGGGGAAGCCCUAUAAUUAUAAUCUUAAUGCCUUUUUUUAAAUAAGUAACCAAAAUAGAACCACAAUCAAGUUACCAAAGGGAUAACAGCGUUAUAUUUUUUCAAAGUUCUUAUUAAUAAAACAAUAUACAACCUCGAUGUUGAAUUAAUUUUCCUUCCUUGUGCAAAAAUAAGUAAAGUGAGUCUGUUCGACUUUUAAAAAAUUACAUGAUCUGAGUUCAAACCGG
rnacentral:rRNA from 1 species